UACGGAGGGGGCUAGCGUUGUUCGGAAUUACUGGGCGUAAAGCGCACGUAGGCGGCUUUGCAAGUCAGAGGUGAAAGCCCGGGGCUCAACCCCGGAAUUGCCUUUAAGACUGCAUCGCUUGAAUCCAGGAGAGGUGAGUGGAAUUCCGAGUGUAGAGGUGAAAUUCGUAGAUAUUCGGAAGAACACCAGUGGCGAAGGCGGCUCACUGGACUGGUAUUGACGCUGAGGUGCGAAAGCGUGGGGAGCAAACAGG
rnacentral:rRNA from 1 species